UACGUAGGGUGCGAGCGUUAAUCGGAAUUACUGGGCGUAAAGCGUGCGCAGGCGGUUCGUGAUGUCUGGUGUGAAAGCCCCGGGCUUAACCUGGGAAUUGCAUUGGAAACUAGCGGGCUGGAGUGUGGCAGAGGGGGGGUGGAAUUCCACGUGUAGCAGUGAAAUGCGUAGAGAUGUGGAGGAACACCGAUGGCGAAGGCAGCCCCCUGGGCUAACACUGACGCUCAUGCACGAAAGCGUGGGGAGCGAACAGG
rnacentral:rRNA from 1 species